rnacentral:misc_RNA from 1 species
GUAACAAGGUCUCCGUUGGUGAACCAGCGGAGGGAUCAUUACCGAGUUUACAACUCCCAAACCCAAUGUGAACGUUACCAAACUGUUGCCUCGGCGGGAUCUCUGCCCCGGGUGCGUCGCAGCCCCGGACCAAGGCGCCCGCCGGAGGACCAACCAAAACUCUUAUUGUAUACCCCCUCGCGGGUUUUUUUUAUAAUCUGAGCCUUCUCGGCGCCUCUCGUAGGCGUUUCGAAAAUGAAUCAAAACUUUCAACAACGGAUCUCUUGGUUCUGGCAUCGAUGAAGAACGCAGCGAAAUGCGAUAAGUAAUGUGAAUUGCAGAAUUCAGUGAAUCAUCGAAUCUUUGAACGCACAUUGCGCCCGCCAGUAUUCUGGCGGGCAUGCCUGUCCGAGCGUCAUUUCAACCCUCGAACCCCUCCGGGGGGUCGGCGUUGGGGAUCGGCCCUCCCUUAGCGGGGGCCGUCUCCGAAAUACAGUGGCGGUCUCGCCGCAGCCUCUCCUGCGCAGUAGUUUGCACACUCGCAUCGGGAGCGCGGCGCGUCCACAGCCGUUAAACACCCAACUUCUGAAAUGUUGACCUCGGAUCAGGUAGGAAUACCCGCUGAACCUAAGCAUAU